rnacentral:rRNA from 1 species
UACGUAGGGUGCGAGCGUUAAUCGGAAUUACUGGGCGUAAAGCGUGCGCAGGCGGCUUCGCAAGUCAGGCGUGAAAUCCCCGGGCUUAACCUGGGAUGGACGUCUGAAACUACGGAGCUGGAGUGUGGCAGAGGGAGGUAGAAUUCCACGUGUAGCGGUGAAAUGCGUAGAUAUGUGGAGGAAUACCGAUGGCGAAGGCAGCCGUCCUCGGCGAACACUGACGCUCAUGCACGAAAGCGUGGGGAGCAAACAGG